rnacentral:rRNA from 1 species
CAAUAGCGUAUAUUAAAGUUGUUGCGGUUAAAAAGCUCGUAGUUGGAUUUCUGCCGAGGACGACCGGUCCGCCCUCUGGGUGAGUAUCUGGCUCGGCCUGGGCAUCUUCUUGGAGAACGUAGCUGCACUUGACUGUGUGGUGCGGCAUCCAGGACUUUUACUUUGAGGAAAUUAGAGUGUUUCAAGCAGGCUUACGCCUUGAAUACAUUAGCAUGGAAUAAUAAGAUAGGACCUCGGUUCUAUUUUGUUGGUUUCUAGAGCUGAGGUAAUGAUUAAUAGGGAUAGUUGGGGGCAUUCGUAUUUAACUGUCAGAGGUGAAAUUCUUGGAUUUGUUAAAGAUGGACUACUGCGAAAGCAUUUGCCAAGGAUGUUUUCAUUGA